rnacentral:rRNA from 1 species
UACGUAGGGUGCAAGCGUUGUCCGGAAUUAUUGGGCGUAAAGAGCUCGUAGGUGGCCUGUCGCGUCGGCUGUGAAAACUCGGGGCUCAACUCCGAGCUUGCAGUCGAUACGGGGCAGGCUAGAGUUCGGCAGGGGGAGACUGGAAUUCCUGGUGUAGCGGUGAAAUGCGCAGAUAUCAGGAGGAACACCGGUGGCGAAGGCGGGUCUCUGGGCCGAUACUGACACUGAGGAGCGAAAGCGUGGGGAGCGAACAGG